rnacentral:rRNA from 1 species
GACGAACCGUGCAAACGUUGUUCGGAAUCACUGGGCUUAAAGGGCGCGUAGGCGGGCGGUCAAGUCCGGGGUGAAAUCUUUCGGCUCAACCGGAAAAUUGCCUUGGAUACUGGCCGUCUCGAGGGAGGUAGGGGCAUGUGGAACUUCCGGUGGAACGGUGAAAUGUGUUGAUAUCGGAAGGAACACCGGUGGCGAAAGCGACGUGCUGGACACCUUCUGACGCUGAGGCGCGAAAGCCAGGGGAGCAAACGGGGAUUAGAAACCCUGGUAGU